CUAAGACGGGCACUGGAGGUGGCUGGUCGCGGCCGGCGUCUGCCGGGAGGGCUCUGUGCGCUCGGUUCUCCCGGGAGGCUCGUUGUUCUCGCUUCUGCCGCCCAGGCCGCCGCGCCUCCCUAGACCCUUUCUCCGCUUGUCCUCUAGCCAGUCCCCAGGAUCCUCAUGUCGCGCCUUGCGCGCCCCCACCGCUUGUCCGAGCCCCGGCACCCCCCGCGGGAUGAUGACCACAGCCUCUUACCGGCCUUCAGUCCCCAGGCUCGCGCAGACGCCGGCACGUGGCUGUUCUCUGAAAACCCUGCAAAGCUUGACACUUAAAUGAAGUUGUGAAAGUAUUUGGAGAGAGUAUUAGAAAGUGAUCCACGUCCAGCCGCUUGGAGCGGGCAGUGAGUUGGUGUUCUGUGGGAGCGCAACAAAGGGUAGAGGCAAGGGAAUGGCGAUGCUCCACCACGGAUUCAGAACUGGAUGAGAUGAGAAAUGAGUACACGAGAGGUACUGCGGAAAGGUACUGUGUGCGCUGAAUUGGAGGUGCCAGUGCAGUGGAAGAAAUGUCACCAGAGCCAAACGCUGGUAGAGCAGGGUCCCAGAAAUAGGGCAUGGAGGUGGCCACUUCGUCUAUAUCUGUAGGCUAGGUGGAACUAUAGUCACGGGUAGAAGACAGUCUCCCUGUUGGAGAAGGAGAAACUCAGAAGCCAGGGCGGUAGGGGACCACUGUCACUGAUACCGAACUGUCCUAUCAUUGCUCCUGAUGUUUUUCAUGGAGAAAAAGGCUGAGAACCAGGUACUCAGUAUUUAAGGACCUUUCACCCCGAUGUGUUGGAGGGAGAAUGCAUGACUGCAACAAGGAAGCACUUACUUGGAAGAACUUGGGGGUUUGAGGGAUGAAUGAGGAGGAAUGAGGAUAUCCUCCCCUUCUGCUCUGUGUUUUUGAAUAUAUGCGUAACGAAAGUUCUGGAGGACAUGCACUAGAAUGUUGCAGUGGGACAGGGGGCAUUUAUGGGUGGUAGGGUUAGGGGUGCUUCUAAUGCCCUUUAUACUUUUUAAAAAUUCCUUGACUUUGUAUCUUAUGACGCACAUAAAUUUAACCUUCCACACAAUAAAUAAUAGAACUCUUUACAUUUCGAAAAAAAGACCCCGCUGUGGCUUCCCCAGUGGGCUCACACAUUAGCCUGAAUUAAAAGACAUUGUAGUCUGACCAUACCAAUACUAUAUGAAGCUCUCCUCCUCAACUCUCCACACUCCCUGUUUAGAACUUAAUGGCCCACCAACUGAAAGCUGUUUGUCCCAUGCCUUUUUAAACUCUAAGUAUGCAGCCCCCAUGCUUCAAGUCUUAGCCCAGUCACUGAGACUCAGAUAGAUGUCACGAACUUCGGGAAAGCUUACUCACUGUCCUCCCCUCCCACGGGCCUUCUGUGCUCCCAGUACCACACCCAACUUGCUCUCAUGGCUCUGAGCAUUAUUUCUAGCCCUCUGUGCACCUCUGCCCCACUGAUUCACAGACUGAGCUCUAAAGGGCUAGGGCCCCCAUUGCCCCCCUCCUGGCCUUCUGUCUAAUGCAUUUAGAAAUGUCCCUGUGGAAGCACUCACUGAGUGCACAUCAGGCAGAGACAUGAGCAAGAAGGUGCGAAGGCGGAGGCAGGGCUCUCUGCACAGUCCAUGCUCGUGCUGCCAAGACCUGGGGUACUGAAGCUCUCUGGCCACCAUCUGUUUGAGGUCCAACUUUAUACUUCCGUCAUGGUGUGGGAACCCCAAGCUAAAAUAACAAAAAAAUGUAACUAGUCUCGGACCAUUGGAAUCCCCAGGGACCCCUAUAAAUAAGACCCAGUAUUCCCCUCAGGAACUUCCAUCAUCUGGGGCACAUGCCUUCCAACAGAAACAACAACCCUCUGUCAACAAGUAUUCCCAGUAAAAGAUUGAAAACCCAAUGAGCUGCCAUGAGGGUAACAUGCAGAUUCAACAAGCAGGAUAAUUAGUUCUUCAAGAUCUGGAGAUGAUAGAACAACCUGAGAUGGAGAGGUCAAACAAUUUUUAACAGCUUUGGUGAGAUAUGAUAACCAUCUAAUAAACCACAUGUUGAAAGUGUGCAGUUCAACAAGUUUUGA